GCUCCCUUCGUCUAGAGGCCUAGGACCCCGGGUUCUCAGUCCGGUAACACGGGUUCGACUCCCGUAGGGAGUA
rnacentral:tRNA from 1 species